ACGAGCGCACCCUUGUCAUUAAUUGCCAUCAUUUGGUUGGGCACUUUCAUGAGACUGCCGGUGACAAACCGGAGGAAGGUGGGGAUGACGUCAAGUCCUCAUGGCCCUUAUGGGUAGGGCUUCACACGUCAUACAAUGGUCGGUACAGAGGGUUGCCAAGCCGCGAGGUGGAGCCAAUCCCAGAAAGCCGAUCGUAGUCCGGAUCGGAGUCUGCAACUCGACUCCGUGAAGUCGGAAUCGCUAGUAAUCGCGGAUCAGCAUGCCGCGGUGAAUACGUUC
rnacentral:rRNA from 1 species